AUACUGCUGAGCUAGGGACCGGGAGAGGCCGAGGGUAUUCCCGGGGUAGGGGUGAAAUCCUGUAAUCCCGGGAGGACCACCUGUGGCGAAGGCGCUCGGCUGGAACGGGUCCGACGGUGAGGGACGAAGGCCUGGGGAGCGAACCGGAUUAGAUACCCGGGUAGUCCAGGCUGUAAACGAUGCGGGCUAGGUGUCACCGGAGCUACGAGCUCCGGUGGUGCCGGAGGGAAGCCGUUAAGCCCGCCGCCUGGGAAGUACGGCCGCAAGGCUGAAACUUAAAGGAAUUGGCGGGGGAGCACUACAACGGGUGGAGCCUGCGGUUUAAUUGGAUUCAACGACAAAAAAGCUUACCGGGGGAGACAGCGGGAUGAAGGUCGGGCUGAAGACCUUACCAGACUAGCUGAGAGGUGGUGCAUGGCCGCCGUCAGUUCGUACUGUGAAGCAUCCUGUUAAGUCAGGCAACGAGCGAGACCCGCGCCCUCAGUUGCCAGCGGGUCCCUUCGGGGACGCCGGGCACACUGAGGGGACUGCCGGCGCUAAGCCGGAGGAAGGUGCGGGCAACGGCAGGUCCGUAUGCCCCGAAUCCCCCGGGCUACACGCGGGCUACAAUGGCCGGGACAAUGGGUACCGACCCCGAAAGGGGUGGGUAAUCUCCUAAACCCGGUCUAACCUGGGAUCGAGGGCUGCAACUCGCCCUCGUGAACCUGGAAUCCGUAGUAAUCGCGUCUCA
rnacentral:rRNA from 1 species